rnacentral:rRNA from 1 species
GAUGAACGCUAGCUACAGGCUUAACACAUGCAAGUCGAGGGACCGGCGCACGGGUGAGUGACACGUACCCAACCUGCCCUUUACUCGGGGAUAGCCUUUCGAAAGAAAGAUUAAUACCCAAUAUAAAGGAUGGGGAUGCGUUCCAUUAGGUUGUUGGUGAGGUAACGACUGACAAAGCCUUCGAUGGAUAGGGGUGCUGAGAGGAAGGUCACCCGCAUUGGAACUGAGACACGGUCCAAACGGCUACCGGAGGGAGGAGUGAGGGAGAUAUGGCAAUGGGCGCGAGCAGGAACCAGCCAGGUAGUGUGAAAGAUGAAGGCUUAUGGGUCGUAGACUUCUUGUAUGUAAGAGUAUGUAUUAUAUGAAUAAGGAUCGGCUAACUACGUGCCAGCAGCCGCGGUAAUUC